ACAGGGAUUGCCCUAGUAACGGCGAGUGAAGCGGCAACAGCUCAAAUUUGAAAUCUGGCUCUUUCAGAGUCCGAGUUGUAAUUUGCAGAGGGCGCUUUGGUGUUGGCAGCGGUCCAAGUUCCUUGGAACAGGACGUCACAGAGGGUGAGAAUCCCGUACGUGGUCGCUAGCCUCCGCCGUGUAAAGCCCCUUCGACGAGUCGAGUUGUUUGGGAAUGCAGCUCUAAAUGGGAGGUAAAUUUCUUCUAAAGCUAAAUACUGGCCAGAGACCGAUAGCGCACAAGUAGAGUGAUCGAAAGAUGAAAAGCACUUUGGAAAGAGAGUCAAAUAGCACGUGAAAUUGUUGAAAGGGAAGCGCUUGCAGCCAGACUUGCCUGUAGUUGCUCAUCUGGGCUUUUGCCCGGUGCAUUCUUCUGCAGGCAGGCCAGCAUCAGUUUGGGCGGUUGGAUAAAGGUCUCUGUCAUGUACCUCUCUUCGGGGAGGCCUUAUAGGGGAGACGUCAUGCAACCAGCCUGGACUGAGGUCCGCGCAUUUGCUAGGAUGCUGGCGUAAUGGCUGUAAGCGGCCCGUCUUGAAACACGGACCAAGGAGUCUAACAUCUAUGCGAGUGUUUGGGUGUCAAGCCCGAGCGCGUAAUGAAAGUGAACGGAGGUGGGAACCCUUUUGGGGUGCACCAUCGACCGAUCCUGAUGUCUUCGGAAGGAUUUGAGUAAGAGCAUGGCUGUUGGGACCCGAAAGAUGGUGAACUAUGCUUGAAUAGGGUGAAGCCAGAGGAAACUCUGGUGGAGGCUCGCAGCGGUUCUGACGUGCAAAUCGAUCGUCAAAUUUGGGCAUAGGGGCGAAAGACUAAUCGAACUAUCUAGUAGCUGGUUCCUG
rnacentral:rRNA from 1 species